CAUCACAUGGCAGGUGACAUCGCACCAAAUUAAAGUGACGUGUGAUAAAUAUUUAGAAUUCCCCUCGACAAGCACCACAGCAAAUCCAU